rnacentral:lncRNA from 1 species
UCCAAAAAUGGUGGUACAAAGUUGUCAGAUAUGAUCACAGGAACACAUUCGUAGGAAAUAGCUUCCACGACUCGUGGACUGUUGACUUCAUAACCUCUUGCACAAAUGCAGUAUCUACUGCUCUUCAUGUGCUGGAUAUAGUCGGUCUUGUGCAUCCGCCCAAAGAUUUUCAUGUUUGGAUCUUUGUUUUGCCAGUACUUUAAAAGAAUAGGACGGACGUACCCAUGCAUACGUAGUCAGUCUUGCGCAUCUUCCCAAAGAUUUUCAUGUUUGGAUCUUUGUUUGCCAGUACUUUAAAAGAAUAGGACGGACGUACCCAUGCAUACUGUCUGCGAAGAAAGCAAGGAAUUCUCGUUGACUAGG